GCAAACUUGGUCAUUUAGAGGAAGUAAAAGUCGUAACAAGGUUUCCGUAGGUGAACCUGCGGAAGGAUCAUUAACAAUCGGAUUGUUACCCUAUAUCCACCUUGUGUGCAAACUCGAGAAAAAGCCUACUUUGGAGAGAUUAUUCUUUUAAUCUCUCCAAAGAGGUCAUCACAGUCAAUCAUUUUUUUCUUUUCUACUCAUUAUCUAAAAAAUAUAAAUUUAAAUAAAAAACAACUUUCAACAACGGAUCUCUUGGCUCUCGCAUCGAUGAAGAACGCAGC
rnacentral:misc_RNA from 1 species